rnacentral:rRNA from 1 species
GACGAACGCUGGCGGCGUGCCUAAUACAUGCAAGUCGAGCGAUGAUUAAAGAUAGCUUGCUAUUUUUAUGAAGAGCGGCGAACGGGUGAGUAACGCGUGGGAAAUCUGCCGAGUAGCGGGGGACAACGUUUGGAAACGAACGCUAAUACCGCAUAACAAUGAGAAUCGCAUGAUUCUUAUUUGAAAGAAGCAAUUGCUUCACUACUUGAUGAUCCCGCGUUGUAUUAGCUAGUUGGUAGUGUAAAGGACUACCAAGGCGAUGAUACAUAGCCGACCUGAGAGGGUGAUCGGCCACCCGGGGGCUGAGCCACGGCCCCGACUCCUACGGGAGGCAGCAGUAGGGAAUCUUCGGCAAUGGGGGCAACCCUGACCGAGCAACGCCGCGUGAGUGAAGAAGGUUUUCGGAUCGUAAAACUCUGUUGUUAGAGAAGAGCGUUAAGUAGAGUGGAAAAUUACUUAAGUGACGGUAUCUAACCAGAAAGGGACGGCUAACUACGUGCCAGCCGCCGCCGUAA